rnacentral:rRNA from 1 species
CCUUUGACGUUAGCGGCGGGCGGGUGAGUAACACGUGGGUAACCUACCUAUAAGACUGGGAUAACUUCGGGAAACCGGAGCUAAUACCGGAUAAUAUUUCGAACCGCAUGGUUCGAUAGUGAAAGGUGGUUUUGCUAUCACUUAUAGAUGGACCCGCGCCGUAUUAGCUAGUUGGUAAGGUAACGGCUUACCAAGGCGACGAUACGUAGCCGACCUGAGAGGGUGAUCGGCCACACUGGAACUGAGACACGGUCCAGACUCCUACGGGAGGCAGCAGAC